UCUUUUAAUUGAAGGCUUGAAUGAAAGAUUGGAUGAAAAAUAAACUUUAUUAAUAUAAAUUAUUUAAUUUAUUAUUUAAGUAAAAAUUCUUAAAUGUGUAAGUGGGACGAGAAGACCCUAUAGAGUUUUAUUUUUAUUUCUAUUAUUAAAUUAAAGAAUUAAUAUUUUUAUAAUAUAAAUGAAUUUUUUAUUGGGGUGAUAUUAAAAAUUUAUGAACUUUUAAUAAAUAUUUCAUUAAUAUAUGUAUAUUUGAUCCAAAAAAAUUUUGAUUAUAAGAUUUAAUUACCUUAGGGAUAACAGCGUUAUUAAUUUGAAGAGUUCAAAUCGAU
rnacentral:rRNA from 1 species